rnacentral:rRNA from 1 species
CCUACGGGCGGCAGCAGUGGGGGAUAUUGCACAAUGGGGGAAACCCUGAUGCAGCGAUGCCGCGUGAAUGAAGACGGCCUUCGGGUUGUAAAGUUCUGUCGCAGGGGACGAAAAUGACGGUACCCUGCAAGAAAGCUCCGGCUAACUACGUGCCAGCAGCCGCGGUAAUACGUAGGGGGCAAGCGUUAUCCGGAUUUACUGGGUGUAAAGGGAGCGUAGACGGCGAUGCAAGUCUGAAGUGAAAGGCGGGGGCCCAACCCCCGGACUGCUUUGGAAACUGUAUGGCUGGAGUGCAGGAGAGGUAAGUGGAAUUCCUAGUGUAGCGGUGAAAUGCGUAGAUAUUAGGAGGAACACCAGUGGCGAAGGCGGCUUACUGGACUGUAACUGACGUUGAGGCUCGAAAGCGUGGGGAGCAAACAGGAUUAGAUACCCUAGUAGUC